AAUGAACGCUGGCGGCGUGCUUAACACAUGCAAGUCGAACGGACUGCGAGGAGCUUGCUCCUCAAAGUUAGUGGCGGACGGGUGAGUAACGCGUGGGUAACCUGCCCUAUGCAGGGGGAUAACGUUUGGAAACGAACGCUAAUACCGCAUAAUAUAAUUGGUUCGCAUGAACUGAUUAUCAAAGAUUUUAUCGGCAUAGGAUGGACCCGCGUUGGAUUAGCUAGUUGGUGAGAUAACAGCCCACCAAGGCAACGAUCCAUAGCCGGCCUGAGAGGGUGAACGGCCACACUGGGACUGAGACACGGCCCAGACUCCUACGGGAGGCAGCAGUGGGGAAUAUUGCACAAUGGGCGAAAGCCUGAUGCAGCGACGCCGCGUGAAGGAUGAAGGUCUUCGGAUCGUAAACUUCUAUCAGCAGGGAAGAAUACCAUGACGGUACCUGACUAAGAAGCCCCGGCUAACUACGUGCCAGCAGCCGCGGUAAU
rnacentral:rRNA from 1 species